AAAUGAUUCCAAUAGGAUUAAUACAUGUGGGUUCAGUGUAGAGUUGAGUACAGAGACAGUAUUUCCAUAGAGAGGAGGGUCACAUGGUCAGCUGAUCCUUCCUGAGUUUUAUAGUGAGCUGAAGACUGCACCACUCACAUGUGUCAGUGAACGCACCAUGGCUCUGGGCUGCACCAUCCUCAUCUGGACACUGGCCUGCUGCUGCUUCACAGGAUGCAGUGGUCAGGUCACAGUCACUCAACCUCCAGUCCAGAUGUUUACUCCAGGAUCCACCGUCACUCUCACAUGUAAAACUAACAAAGAUGUUUAUAGUAAUUCUAAUGGUUGGUUCAUGCACUGGUAUCAGCAGAAACCUGGUCAGACUCCAAAGCUCUGGAUAAAAAUAUGCAACACAACGUCUGUCAGAAACUCCAUCUCGGUUCAGUGGCAGUGGGAGUCACAGUGACUUCUCUUUGACCAUCACUGGAGUUCAGGCUGAAGAUGCAGCAGUUUAUUACUGUCAGAGUUUCAUCAUAGCGGUGUGUUCACACAGUGAUUUGUGCUCGUACAAAAACCUCCCUCAGUGAGUCGUUCAGAGUGAGACCAGAGCAGGAAACAACUGCAGCUGCUCAAGAGGAACUCACAUCACUGAUCUGUGUGUAGUUACACCAAACAUUCACCUUUAUAUUAUUUUAAUCUCUUAAUCUGCAUUUAUCAGUCUCAAUUGCCUCAUGUUGGCAGAAGUAGAAAAUGUUCAUUUGGGUCUGGAGGUAGACUUUAUCUCAGAAAGCAUUCACCAUCACAACCAACCCACCAGUUCAACCCAUCCAAAUAAUAUUAAAUAUGUUCAUCUUUAUGUAAUAACCUUAAUUUGGGAUUUUGUAGCAGGAAAU